rnacentral:snoRNA from 1 species
CCUGCCCCUGGAGGUAUUGUGUUGCUUGUGUGGCUGCAGUGUCACAUGUGUGUCAAUAGGUGGCAGAAAGAAGUGAGGCUAUGUCUGUGCUGUGCUUUGACUUAUGAAGAAUGAAUAGAAAG